GCUGGCGGCGUGCCUAACACAUGCAAGUCGAGCGGUAAGGCCCCUUCGGGGGUACACGAGCGGCGAACGGGUGAGUAACGCGUGGGUAACCUACCCAGAGGUCGGGGAUAGCCCCGGGAAACCGGGGGUAAUACCGGAUGUGUCCCAGACGGCAUAAGUCGACUGGGAGAAAGGCGGGGAUCUUCGGACCUGUCGCUUCUGGAUGGGCCCGCGUCCGAUUAGCUUGUUGGUGAGGUAAAGGCUCACCAAGGCAUCGAUCGGUAGCCGGCCUGAGAGGGUGAACGGCCACAUUGGGACUGAGACACGGCCCAGACUCCUACGGGAGGCAGCAGUGGGGAAUUUUGGGCAAUGGGCGCAAGCCUGACCCAGCGACGCCGCGUGGAGGAUGAAGGCCUUCGGGUUGUAAACUCCUGUCAGGUGGGAAGAAAUGCCCGUCGGUGAAUAGCCGACGGGAGUUGACGGUACCACCAAAGGAAGCCCCGGCUAACUCCGUGCCAGCAGCCGCGGUAAUACGGAGGGGGCAAGCGUUAUUCGGAUUUACUGGGCGUAAAGCGCACGUA
rnacentral:rRNA from 1 species